GUUAGUCGGUAUGGACAUCAUUGGCAAGUUUUCAAAAACAGAAAGAGACCAUGAAUAUAUCUGCACAGUUGUAGACUACUACACAAAAUGGACUGAAGUCUUCCCCCUAAAGAGCAAGUCAGCUUCAGAGGUUGCUGGAUGCAUUGUGAAAAUGUUUUAUCAAUUUGGAGCUCCAAAGAGAAUUCUGACAGACCCAGGGAAGAGAAUUCAACAAUGAGCUCAACACCACACUGUGCAAUUUGCUCCAAAUAAAAAGGAGUCUGUCAGCGCCAUAUCAUACACAGACAAAUGGUCUGGUGGAGAAAAUGGAUGGAGUAAUACAAAGAUAUAUUUUAGGUGACAUCAUUAGAUGUUGAAGGAACAGUGGGUGAAGAACCAAUCGGUAAAUGCAUCGCACGGCAUGAGGAGAUUCAAAGGAUUGUAAAAGGAAACACAGAAAAGGCAUCAGAUAAAAAGAAAAAGAGAGAAAAGAAAACUCAGGAUUUAGAACCAGUUCUGAAGGCCGGAGACGAAGACAAAAUGUGAAGAGCCAGCAAAGAAAUUGGAAAAUAUAAAAUAUUCGAUACUGACAUCCAAAAUGUGAAGCCUGGCAGUGAACUAGAAAGUGAGGUAAAUUAUGAAUUUGAGUUUUUAACUGAAUAUUUAUGUCACAUACAAUAAACUGUGAUUAGAUACUGACUGCCAAUUUGGUCUACAUUCAGUCUACAAUUACAGUCUACAUUGUACAAGAAACAUAGGCUUAAAUGUUCCUGUUGUUUAGGUGAUUAAUGCAUAUCUCUCAUCACUAACAAAGAGACACAAUGACAAAAGACAAGGACAAGCUUGUGUCAUUGACAGUUAUGCAAUGACAGGGAUGUGGCAUGGAAAACUACCAGCAAUGAGACAGGUUUGUAUUUGACCCAAAAGUAAACCUUAUUAAAUAAUAACUUAAAUGUACACGUUAUUAAAUAUAUUCUACUUUUUUAAGCUCCUUCCAGAUGAGUAUGAAAUUCUGCUGGGUGCAGUAAUGAUUCUC